GAGGAAUAUUUGUCCAUGGGCGAGAGCCUGAACCAGCCAAGUCGCGUGAAGGGAGACUGCCCUAUUGGUUGUAAAAUUCUUUUAUACAGGAAUAAAAAAGCUUUACUGUUUGGCAUUUUCAGUUCUUUAUGAAUAAACAUCUGCUAACUCCGUGCCAGCAGCCGCGGUAAUACGGAGGAUGCGAGCGUUAUCCGGAUUUAUUGGGUUUAAAGGGUGCGCAGGCGGGCUUUUAAGUCAGCGGUGAAAUCUGGACGCUUAACGUCCAAACUGCCGUUGAAACUGGGAGUCUUGAGUAUGGAUGAAGUAGGCGGAAUUCGUUGUGUAGCGGUGACAUGCAUAGAUAUAACGAGGAACUCCGAUUGCGUAGGCAGCUUACUAAGCCAUAACUGACGCUCAUGCACGAAAGCGUGGGGAUCAAACA
rnacentral:rRNA from 1 species